GGUGUGCUACUCUGCAGCGGCGCCACCAUAAUGAAUACCAAUGAAUUAUAUGGUGAAAUGAUGUACCUAAAAGGUACAUCAUUGACAGCUUUUGUGUUUGACACGGCGUCGAAAAGGUUAAAAGUGUUACAGCCAUGAAAAACAAUCGCAUUUAAUGAGUAUGUUACAUGCUACAAUCUGGUACCUUUUGAUUUAAAUAUCACAUUUAAAUACCUACUACGGAACGUGUAUUCGUUUCUAUAUGCAGAGGCAUCCCGCAAGAAUGUCGCUUACGUAAUGCUUUUGCCUUGCGCGUGGCAGCGAUUUCAAUCAAAGCCGUAAAACAUGAGAUACUGCAAAUUUGUUAGACAUGUUAUGAGAUAUUACUAGACCCAAUAUCGCUUAGCAUUCUCGGAAUUAUUGGAAGGUUGGCGUUACGUAACCGAUAUUCUCGUGGACUGGCCCAAACAGUGUCUACUUUUUGUUAGGUUACUGUCCAGGGCCGCUUCAUUUGUGGUCGCGAACAACCUGUGACAAAGACUCCCGAGGUUUCAGAAAUUAUAGCGCACGUAAAACCGUAGUAGUUAAAUAGUGUUAAUUAUAUAUUAUGUGUUGUCAUUAAGAGUAGCCUUGAUGGGGUAAAGAAGAUUUUUGUUUAUUUUUUGUUUUAUUUUGUUAACGACACCAGAAUGUGUAAAGACUGGUAUUCUCCUUACAGAGUCUUACAGCUAGAUGGCUAAAAAUUCUGACCUAAAUAGUGUCGCCAUCUAGGAUUAUUUUUUUUCAGAGGAAUCCAUCUUUGUAAGGAGAUUAGCAGACUUUAUGGUUCUCUGGUCAUUCACAAGGCUUAGCUGGGAACCGACCUGAUUCAUAACUUUCAAAGCAAAUGAUUAAAUGACAGUUUUGUUGUUGGAUUAUUGUUGCGAAAAACAAUUAAGAUGAAUAUUGUCUUUACUAGAAAUGGAAACGUUUGUAAUAUUGUGGUCUGGUUCAUGUUUAACGCUGUUGUUAUUCUUGUCAGUUUCCAGUUUAAGUAAUCCAAUGUGUAAAAAACUGAAAAUGAAGACUAUGUAGGUAUGUUGAUUACUCGCCAAAUACCUUCUCUGUAACAGACUGGUAAAUAUAAGCUCUUAUAAUUAUAA